UGAACUGCGGUUUGCCAAAUACCAGCUGUGGUGACCUGGUCUCAGCUUUAAAUUCCAACCCAUCCCACCUGACAGAACUGGACCUGAGGUUCAAGAACCUGUGGGCUUCAGAUGUUCAACAGCUCCAGGAUCUGGUUGAGAGUCUAAACUACAAACUGCAGAUUCUGAAGUGGAGGGACUAAAGUCUUUCCUCCUCCUUGUGGUCUGCAGAGAUGUUCAUCAUCACCUGGGACUGGGAGGUGGAGAGCAGAGUGAUGGAAGAAUCAGAGGAAAUGGAGUGUCAGAGUUGCAACAAGAACUGAUCUGAAAUCAGCUCCACUAGUCGCUCUAAGCAUGAAAUUAUGGUGCUACAGCUCCCCUGGUGGAGUAAUGGAGAACUGCACUUCAUCUUCUCAACUUGGAGUGUUGGGAAUUCUUCUGCUUCUCUUUUCCCUCAUUUUGGGAGCUUCUCUUAACUUUUUCCUCGUGUAAUUGCUGUCGCUGAUGCACUACUACUGUUAGAUUCCUUCACUUCUCUGUACCGCAGACAGGACCAGAAAGCAGCAGCAUGGUUGUUGACCAAAUAAAGUCCAUCUUACAGCA